rnacentral:rRNA from 1 species
UACGAAGGGGGCUAGCGUUGCUCGGAAUCACUGGGCGUAAAGCGCACGUAGGCGGCUUGUUAAGUCAGGGGUGAAAUCCUGGAGCUCAACUCCAGAACUGCCUUUGAUACUGGCGAGCUUGAGUUCGGGAGAGGUGAGUGGAACUGCGAGUGUAGAGGUGAAAUUCGUAGAUAUUCGGAAGAACACCAGUGGCGAAGGCGACUUACUGGACACAUAUUGACGCUGAGGUGCGAAAGCGUGGGGAGCAAACAGG